GCUUUUAAAAAGAUUUGCACAAUACAUCCUUCAUAUUGUUAUUUUUAUCUCUGUAAAUUUGUAAUGGCCUCUAAAAAAAAAGCUGUGUAACAAGAGUAUCAGAUGUUACUUUGCUCACUGUUGAGGGCUGUGAAGAACAGAAGAAAACUAAGGAAGAAAACAAAACUGGGAAGGGCAAUGAAGGAAUGGGUUAGCGUUCAAAAGUAAAGUGUGUUCCACACAAAAGAAAGAGUUCAGGUACCUGAGUCAGCGGCAAUGCAAGGACAAGAGAUGGGCUUUUAGAGAGAAUUGAGCUUGUCAAUGUGACUCAGCUCUGGAAGACCAAAAAAUUAUGGAGGGAGAGGUAACAGAUCCAUCCUGAACUAAUGUGGAUAUGUCAGUAUAAGUUGAAGACCGCUCAAGGAAAUGCAGCCCUUUUGGGUUCUCUGAAGGUCACUUUUCCUUGGACUGACUUUCCUCAUAGUCCCACACCCAGAAGCAAAAAUGAGCCAUCUCUUUUGUCUUUUCAAAGAUUGGAGAUACCUUUUCCAGAAAUCCUCCCAACAGCCUUGCCCUCAUGUUUCAAGGCCAGACUCCUUUUACCUGAGCAGAUCUGCAGCCAGUUUAUUGGCAAGUUGAGUAAGACUGAUGUGAUUAGCUGACACCAAUCAAGACCUACCCUCUGCAAUGUGGCCGUACCCAGGAGGAAGCACACCUGAAAAAAAGACAAUAUUCUCAUUGGAAGAAGCAAGCACAGAAAGGAGGUGGUAUUGGGGAAUAGGUAUUGCAUAGGCUACCAGCAAUGCCAGCUGAAACAUGAACAUGAUGGAUCCAUGAUGCAGCAAAUUAUCUGCCCCAUAAGGGUUUCAACUUGAAGUCUGUAAAUUUGUUUUGAUAAUCUUAUCAUUCUCACUUGUUAGCCUUUUAAAAUUUCAGGUUGAAGGCAGCCUAAAUAUUACAACAUUUUCAAGUUUUGGUGAUUAUUGUCUGACAUUUAAAACUAGCUAGACAUAAUAAUAUAUUAAAUUAAAGAGAUUUUAGUAGCAUCAUUUAGAAGAUCUGUUUCAUCUAUUUUAGCAAAAUGUUCUAUAUUUUCAUACCAGUGCUCUGAGAUAAUUAUAAUUAAAAGGACACAAAACUGUGACUAAAAAUGUGUAUUUUCCUUCUGUGGUCUUUGUGCUUCUUCAAAUGACAGGUGUUUAAGAAAGGAAAUUCUAUUCAUUGCUGUCUUUGCUAUCUUUUCUAUAGCAAAAAAAAAAAAAAAAAAAAAAAACCCAAACUUUAAAUAAUGACUUUUUAUAAGAGAAAAACUGAAAUGAUGAACAGAUUGCUUUGAUCACUGCUUUGCUGAACAACU
rnacentral:lncRNA from 1 species